rnacentral:rRNA from 1 species
UACGGUGGGGGCUAGCGUUGUGCGGAAUUUCUGGGCGUAAAGCGUACGUAGGCGGCUUUGUAAGUUAGAGGUGAAAGCCCGGGGCUCAACCCCGGAAUUGCCUUUAAGACUGCAUCGCUUGAAUCGCGGAGCGGUGAGUGGAAUUCCGAGUGUAGAGGUGAAAUUCGUAGAUAUUCGGAAGAACACCAGUGGCGAAGGCGGCUCACUGGACGAGUAUUGACGCUGAGGUACGAAAGCGUGGGGAGCAAACAGG